ensembl:snoRNA Gm24942 predicted gene, 24942
CCUGCCUGGUGUCUGUGGUCCCAGGCAGGGCUCUUCUAGUCUCUGGCAGAGAGGAGAGAGGCUAUAUCCAUGUUCAGUGUUCUGACCCAGGACCAUCUGAAUGAUUGGUAGGCUAACAUU